AGCCCAGAGCCUGAAUCAGUGUGUGUGUUAGUGGAAGCGUCUGGAAAGGCGCGCGAUACAGGGUGACAGCCCCGUACACAAAAAUGCACAUGCUGUGAGCUCGAUGAGUAGGGCGGGACACGUGGUAUCCUGUCUGAAUAUGGGGGGACCAUCCUCCAAGGCUAAAUACUCCUGACUGACCGAUAGUGAACCAGUACCGUGAGGGAAAGGCGAAAAGAACCCCGGCGAGGGGAGUGAAAAAGAACCUGAAACCGUGUACGUACAAGCAGUGGGAGCCUCUUUAUGGGGUGACUGCGUACCUUUUGUAUAAUGGGUCAGCGACUUAUAUUCUGUAGCAAGGUUAACCGAAUAGGGGAGCCGAAGGGAAACCGAGUCUUAACUGGGCGUUAAGUUGCAGGGUAUAGACCCGAAACCCGGUGAUCUAGCCAUGGGCAGGUUGAAGGUUGGGUAACACUAACUGGAGGACCGAACCGACUAAUGUUGAAAAAUUAGCGGAUGACUUGUGGCUGGGGGUGAAAGGCCAAUCAAACCGGGAGAUAGCUGGUUCUCCCCGAAAGCUAUUUAGGUAGCGCCUCGUGAAUUCAUCUCCGGGGGUAGAGCACUGUUUCGGCAAGGGGGUCAUCCCGACUUACCAACCCGAUGCAAACUGCGAAUACCGGAGAAUGUUAUCACGGGAGACACACGGCGGGUGCUAACGUCCGUCGUGAAGAGGGAAACAACCCAGACCGCCAGCUAAGGUCCCAAAGUCAUGGUUAAGUGGGAAACGAUGUGGGAAGGCCCAGACAGCCAGGAUGUUGGCUUAGAAGCAGCCAUCAUUUAAAGAAAGCGUAAUAGCUCACUGGUCGAGUCGGCCUGCGCGGAAGAUGUAACGGGGCUAAACCAUGCACCGAAGCUGCGGCAGCGACGCUUAUGCGUUGUUGGGUAGGGGAGCGUUCUGUAAGCCUGCGAAGGUGU
rnacentral:rRNA from 1 species